ACAUGAAUUCGCGUCUCGGGUAGGCCAUUUUUACACGUAAGUUGUGAGCCUGCAGUAGCAGAUUCUUUAGACAGUAACUAUCUUCCAUUGGUGAUGAUGAGAGAGCAGGGGGUAAGGAUUUUUAGCUUAAAAUACACGUAAAUAAACUGUAAAAAAACAGUAGAAGUUGUAUCUCCGGGCAACCAAUCUAUAUUACAUAUUUUUGAAGUUUUCGACAUCAUUUUGAUAACAUUUUGAUUUAAACCUUUGUGUGGUUUGUUCACGAGUGUUCACC